UUGUUUGCAAAUGCAGCAUUUUCAAGAUUCACAUGUUAAUUGCACUUAUCCCACUGUACGUACGUUUAUAUAUGCAUAUAUAAUAAUAUAAACUAACAGUGGAAUUCGCAAUUUAAUGCUGUGUAAUGAGAAUCUUGAUGAUGCUGCAUUAGCAAUAAA
rnacentral:pre_miRNA from 1 species